AACGAGGCCGACCUGCGGCUGAGUUACCUGCGGAGGGAUCAUUAAAAAAUGGAUCGAGGAAAAAAAAACAACCUUGUGCAAUUAUUGAAAGUUAAUCUUUGGGAGAUUGAGGAAAGAUUUUCUUUCUCGUCUUCCAAAGGUGUUUGAAUAUACAAAACUUUUUUAAAUGUCUUAAUAAUGAAAAAUCAUUAAUAUAAUAAAAACAACUUUCAACAACGGAUCUCAGAUCGGAAGAGCACA
rnacentral:misc_RNA from 1 species